rnacentral:lncRNA from 1 species
CAGCCCCCCUGGACCUUGCCAGAUGGAGCAGGGUGACCGGCUCUUGGCUUGGAAGGAGCAGCUGGCUUCCCGACUGGAUGAAGCACCAUCUCUCUUUGGUCCCUCACUCUCCGCUCUUUCCCACGGACUUAGCCAGAUGGCAUCCCUGGGAGCCUCAGGGUCCCUUGGAAACAUGAACAGCUGUGCUUGUAAAGCCACCCGUGCCCUCCUAUGUGACUGCGUCUGUCAUUGCACAGAAUGCAAAACCACCUGUGGACUCCAGGGAGCUGCUUCCGUGUCCCCUCUUCUUCCAGUGGAGACGCUGAGCUCCCAUCAUGGUCUUAGAUACCCGGGGCUCCUCACAGCGCUCACAGUGAGGCUGGCCUGGUUGAGGCCACUCGGAGGAAGGGACAGGGACCCCACACUGUGGACACGCUGGUGCUUUGGAGCUCCUGGGUGGGUCCAUGGCAUUUUUCAGGCAGCCUUCCUUGAUGUCCCACGGUUCUCCUGAUAAAGAGGAGACCCGGGGGCUGUGUCCUGGGGGAACUUCUAACUCAUGUAUUCUUGUAAACCUGCUGUCACCUCCUGUCCUCAGGCUCACAGCCCUACAGCGGGAUGGGAGCAACGUAAGAAUGUAGCUACGGACCCAUAUUCUGCAUAAGCACUUAUUUAUAGAAUUUGUUUUUACUUGACCAUUUGCUGAGCACUUGUGAAUUCUACCCAGAGGGCAUUGGGACUUGUGUGGAAUGUUUACUGUCUGUGUCCUCUGUUAAAACCGUAUGUGUGUAAAUAUAUUUUGAUAUUUAAAGCAUAUAUUCCUGCCCAGUGUGUUUUAUUACCAUAAAUCUGCAAAGUUCAGCAGUUUUGCAAAUUGUCCAAGUGGGCUUUUGUGAGUUCAUGUCCUUAUGGGCUGCCCUAGGGCGAGCAGUCGCUUGAUUGAGGUCCCUCCCACCCCUCAAAGUGGUGACCCCUUCCCCAUGUGACCUGAGUCCCCUUCCUUCAGGGCCCAGGGCCCAAGUUGGGGGCAGGGGGCUUGGCCCUCAGCCAGGGUCCCGCUUCCCACCACUGUCAUGCAGCAGUGAUUCAGUCGGGGUGACUGGAUACCGUGGCCGGCACUUGUGUGUGUGGACACGCGCACGCACACCUGUCAGACCCAGCCCAGGGUUACUCUUUCCCUGAAUGUCCAGAUGUGACAGAGCAGUGACCAGGACGGGCUGUGACCCUGUCUGCUUCAUCUCCUGAAGGUGGGAGGUGGCGAUCGCCAUUCUCACUGGAUGCUUCUUGGAAGAGGCAGAACAGGAGGCAUCUGCUUCCCGGCUCUGCCCGUCCCAGCGCCUGCGGCUAGUGCUCCGGUGUCUCGUUACACAGGGCACGUCAGCCCCUCUGCCUCCUCUGGGGACCCAUCAGUGUGUACGGCAUCACUGGUUAAAUCUGAGGGUAGUGGCGUCAGCUCUGGGCGUGAGCUAUGAGCCAGCCCUCGGCCCCGUUUUUCCCGGCUGGGAGCCCAGAGGACCUGCAGUUGCAACCAUGGGCCCCAGAGGGCAGCACAGAUGCGUCCUGGGCCACAGGCUUCCUGGAACCCAGUCUCUCUUGGCCCCCUCGCUCUACUGAACCCCAGUCCUGUCUCCCACCAGUGGCCCUUCCCCCAAGAAUUCAGGUGGAAACCAAACAGGGUCUCUCCCUUCCACUCCCCUGGGAGACGUGUCUGAGACAUGAGGUGGACGCCCAUCUUCUUGGAAUCCUGAUCCUCCGUUUGCUGAGGACUUGCAGGGCCCAGGUUUAAGCAGGAAACAAAGGCUGGUGCAUUAACUGAUCACCUGCCCCACACCAGGCCUGGGGCACACUCCCUUGGGCAGCAGGACCCCUGGUGCCCGGCAGAGCCAAUGCUUCUAGAUUGUAUGCCCUCUGUCUCUGUUCCUGGAGAUGGGGUGUCUUGUGUAUGCAUUCACUGAGCCAGUGCAUGCUUAUUAAAAAUCACAUUUCAGAAAAAGUAGCUUUAGUGAAAUAUAACUGACAUGCAUGUAAUUCAUCCAUUUGAGGAGAACGGCUCAGGGGACAGACUGGGAUGUCUUGCAGAGUACACAAAACAGUCCCUCCUGGUCCACAGUGCCCAUCAGUGUUUAAGCGACACAAACAAGUGGAAUUUGAGAUGAAAGGCAGAAAAGCCCCUAGAUUAGGAGCUGGAAUAAAGCAUCAGAACAUCAAACACACCCAGGGAGCUCUGGGAAUGCACUGGCGCCCACAGUAAUUACGUAUCACAAGUCGGGUCUGGCAGGCUGGGUGGCAGCAAUGGACUGGGGGGAAGACGUGGCCUGGGGGACGGGUAAAGGCAGACACAGGGCCAGGCUCUGGGACCACAGCUCCUCUGGGGACGGUGAUUCAGCUUGCAUGGGGACCUCUCUGAAGGCGAGACCACUGUCCACGACAGAAGCCCGCCUCUUCCAGUGACCCGAGGCUGGGAGGAAGGAGUGAAUACCGUAGAGGAAUAGGCACCAGAACCAGGGGGCUUUUCAGGGCAGAAGGAGCAGCCACACAGACACUUGGUCAUAUCUAAAGUGAGUCCUGGGAAAUGAGUUCCAAAUCUGAUCCUGUAGUUGGAGUCUGGCUCUGGCAGGGAGAUCUGACCUUGGGAGACUUGUGGCAACCCCACCUCGGUGAUCCCACUGUAAGUAGGGCCCAUAGCGGGACCCACCUCACAGGGCGAGAUGAGGAUGGAUCCAUUCUAUGCAGAGCCCCCAGGAUGUCCCUGGACACAGUGGACCAUCCUGGUCACUCUUGGACCCUCAGUGCCCCUUGUGAUCUGAGGCUGAGGGCCGGUGGGCCCUGAAGGACUGGCCAUUUGAGGGUGGAGGUGGCAAGGCUCUCCCCUGCUAUGCCAGCUCCUGGGGGCACAAAGAUGAGCUGAAGAGCAAUUGCUCUGAAUGAUAAUUUGCACUUAGAUUUAUUCUAAUCAGUAGCACAUUAGCCAGGCACAUGUGAUAACCGUCUAAUGACUGUUAUAUGUAUAAUCCAUUUUAUUCUCAGCUGGCUCCCACGGUAAUUACAUUCUGCUGUGUUUAAUUCAUAACUUGAUCAUUUAUUCCAAGUCAAGCUGGAUUGGUCCACAGGCUCAAGGGAAGUGCCACUCGCUGAGGAGUUCAGCCUCUGCUCUGGCCAUGCAGGAAGCUUGUGAAGCCACCAACAUCUCCCCAGCUCUCGUGGGGCCUCUGGGCCAGCAGCUCCCACUCUGAGCCAGCCAGAGCCCGCAGUGGGUGGUGAUGAUGGUGAUGGAAUCAGCAAAGGCUGAAAUAAUAUCAGACACUUUCUAUUUAAUGUAAUAGCUGUGCAGGACGUGUGCACAGCUCACACCCGGCAUACCCGAAAGGCAGGGGCCAACAGCUCAGUGUGAGUCUAACAGGCCUUGGAGGACCUGUGGGUUCAGUUCUGAUGUCCAGAGUAUUUGACUUCACCUUUCCAUGUCUCAGUUUCCCCACUUUUGACACAGGGAAGAGACCACAGUACCCAUUUCACUGGGACCCAUGAAGACUGGAGAUCCAGAUUAUAGUAAAUGCAGUCAGAGUUUUUUUUUUAAUAAUUAAAGCAAUUCUCAUCCUUGCUGCUCAGGCAAGGAAACUGAGGUCCUCCCACAAAACAGUACCGAAGUGGGUGUAUAAAUGCACGAAGGUGGAGGCCUUCUGAGAAGCUGGCUGUCAGCCAGGGAGGCUAAGGAGCCUAUACCCACCACAGGCUGGAGGCCCAGGAGGCUGGCAGUCAAGCUCAUUCUGGGUCUGACAGCCUGAGAACCAGGGGAGCUGAUGGGUGUGAGUCCCAGCCACUCCACGUGAGUGCCCCGUGGCCAGUUUGGUUGACACAGAACGUAAAGCAUCACACACACCUGCCAGGCCUCUCUGCCUCUUCUGAGAACUCAGGUGUUCCCAGAUGUCUGUCCACCAUCCAAAGGGCCUUUUUCAGGCUUUCAGUCCCCGAUACUUCCACCAGAGUCCUGUGGGGAACUUGCUUUUAAGGGCAGAGUCCACCACCCUCGCACGCGCUGGUUUAGAAUCUCGGGAGGCUCUUCUACCUGCAUUUAAAGAGCAGGGCUGGCACCACACUCAAGCCAGCAGUGUUUGCUGGGUCCAUGCCUGGCCUCUCCCUUCAUCUCCUAUCUCACAGGCACAUCUCCUUGGCAUGUAGUGUUGUCCACACUUCUGGGAGUCCUUCAUUCCCCUAAAGCAGCAUGAAGUCUUCCACAAUUAAUCCCAGCCGCCCUCACCCCCUGCCCACCAGGCAUUGCCGCACCUGGAGGUCCCUAAUUAGGAGCAUAAUUAGCCCCACGGCCGUUUUCUCAUCACAAUGGCCCAUCGUGAGUCUGCUUUGCAGCUAAUGACUGAGUCUUCCUGACAAGAAUGGCAAUUCCUUCCGGUAUUUUCCUCCCACCUUCCCCAGAAAACUGCCAAGGGCAGCGUGCAUAAGCCACCCAGGGUCCCGCAGCACUGUCCAGGUCAGGGCUGGCCGCUGGUCAGGCCAUGGACAUGAGGGCAGGUGUCCGGUGACCACCAUCCUGUCUUAGCUGGGAUGUGAGGGCCUUUGGAGGGAGGGGAGCUACUGAGGGAGGGUGGGAACAGGGGAGUGUGCAGGCAGGUGGGGGCAGGACAGAAAAGGGGGCCUGGCUGCUGUGUCCUAUGCCUCCCCAGCCUGGAUCCCCAGGAAGAGCUCCUGAGUCCACUUUGUACUUGGCCCUUCCACUCUAUCUGCGUGUCUGAGCAGGAAAUCUUUUGUCUUAAGGAGGAGAAAGUGAACGCAGGAAGCUGUCAGAGCUGGCAUGGGCUCACUUGCCUCCAGCGGGAGCUUCACUGAGGCUGUGGUGAACGUCCUGGUUUUUCUCUGGAGGAUGAGCUGCCUGCUGGCCCUCUUGGGAAGGAAAUGCACUGGUUUCCAAUGCCCAGAGACAGAAGAGUCAAAUAUAGACAAUGACCAUGCAGGAAGCUGCAGCCCUCAUUCCCGGAACACCAGGUGCACUCGCUUCAAAGGAAGGUUUGACAGGGAAUGCGUGGAUCAGCCUGUUCUGGCCCAUGGAAGCAGCAGAGCUUAGGCUCUGGGGGUCCUGGCAGUCUAAUAGGGGAGGAGGGCUCCUUGCAGGGCAGGCUGCUCCAGGUCUCCUAUUCCCAGAAACCCCCUCCUCUCCCCAGCUCUCUGCCUUGCCUCCCAAGCUGCAGUUGUGGGUGAUCCACAGAGCAGCAGCUGGGCCUCUCUGUCCGGCCACCUUUGGUCUCUGAUGACAAAACCUGCCCAGAGCGCAAAAACUGAAUCAGACCAGAGCCAUGUGGAGGGUGAUGCCUCCAGGCAGUGGGCUUCCCCAGGGGUCAUUCCCAGGGCAGCCUUCCCCGCUGAGCUGUUUCAGGGGAGGCCUGAGUGUCUCAAGAGGAAUUCGGCCCCAGGAGGAGCCUCCCAGGCUCAGGGGGACAGAGGACAUCUGAACAGCUCUUCACUGAGAUGUGUCACCUCCAGCACCAGCUCAAAUGAGC